rnacentral:rRNA from 14 species
UUCCUUGUCGGGUAAGUUCCGACCCGCACGAAAGGCGUAACGAUUUGGGCACUGUCUCAACGAGAGACUCGGUGAAAUCAUAGUACCUGUGAAGAUGCAGGUUACCCGCGACAGGACGGAAAGACCCCGUGGAGCUUUACUGUAGCCUGAUAUUGAAAUUCGGCACAGCUUGUACAGGAUAGGUAGGAGCCUUUGAAACGUGAGCGCUAGCUUACGUGGAGGCGUUGGUGGGAUACUACCCUAGCUGUGUUGG